rnacentral:rRNA from 1 species
CAGUAGCCGCGGUAAUACAGAGGAUGCAAGCGUUAUCCGGAAUGAUUGGGCGUAAAGCGUCUGUAGGUGGCUUUUCAAGUCCGCCGUCAAAUCCCGGGGCUCAACCCCGGAACUGCCUUUGAUACUGGGAGUCUUGAGUUCGAGAGAGGUGAGUGGAAUUGCGAGUGUAGAGGUGAAAUUCGUAGAUAUUCGCAGGAACACCAGUGGCGAAGGCGGCUCACUGGCUCGGUACUGACGCUGAGGUGCGAAAGCGUGGGGAGCAAACAGGAUUAGAUACCCCGGUAGUCCCUGUCUCUUAUAC